AGCUCUCUGUGCUCAUGAAUCCUGUAUGGACCAAUGCAUGGAGGAGAACACCGCCAGUGAGCUCUUACCUCCUGGAGAUGCUGCCUAGCUAAUCCAGCACCAGCAGGACCCUUCCCACCCUGCUCUAGGGAAUGGGGAUGUGCUUAGUCGACCUGCAAAUGGCUAUGCUGAUUUCCCCCCUUGUGUUCAUGGCAUGAGUAUGGAAGCACUCUGUGAGCUGAGCCCUGCUGAAGUCACUGCUGCUGGACAGAUCUCAAGGGAUACAGCAGCAGCUCGUGGAACAAAACCAUCCUGGUCUUGCCUGCUCUGCAUUCACUGUGACCCUCCACCACCGUGGUAACUGAGAGGCUGGUGUGAGGAGCUGGUCUGUACCAAAGCAUGUGCACCCUUCUGUGAGCUGCCCAAAACCACCUCAAUCCCAAAG